rnacentral:rRNA from 1 species
GCUUGUCUCAAAGAUUAAGCCAUGCAUGUCUAAGUGUAAAUAAGUCUAUACUGUGAAACUGCGAAUGGCUCAUUAAAUCAGUUAUCGUUUAUUUGAUGAUCUCUUACUACUUGGAUAACCGUAGUAAUUCUAGAGCUAAUACAUGACCAGAGGCGCGCCCGCGCCGCAUUUAUUAGAUACAACCAGCCCUCCGGGCCUUGGCGAGUCAUAAUAACUGAGCUGACCGUAUUCGUACGGCGUUUCUUAUUAAUUUCUGCCCUAUCAGCUUUCGAUGGUAGGGUAUUGGCCUACCAUGGCGUUAACGGGUAACGGAGAAUUAGGGUUCGAUUCCGGAGAGGGAGCCUGAGAGAUGGCUACCACAUCCAAGGAAGGCAGCAGG